GAGGGUACAGCCCAGUGAUAGAAUGCAUGCCUAGCAUGCAUGAGGUCCUAGGUUCAAUCCCUAGUACCUCCA
rnacentral:tRNA from 1 species